rnacentral:rRNA from 1 species
AUACAGAGGGUGCAAGCGUUAAUCGGAAUUACUGGGCGUAAAGCGCGCGUAGGCGGUUUGUUAAGUCGGAUGUGAAAUCCCCGGGCUCAACCUGGGAACUGCAUUCGAAACUGGCGAGCUCGAGUAUGGUAGAGGGUAGUGGAAUUCCGGGUGUAGCGGUGAAAUGCGUAGAUAUCCGGAGGAACAUCAGUGGCGAAGGCGGCUACCUGGACCAAUACUGACGCUGAGGUGCGAAAGCGUGGGGAGCAAACAGGAUUAGAUACCCCUGUAGUCC